CCUACGGGAGGCAGCAGUGAGGAAUAUUGGUCAAUGGGCGAGAGCCUGAACCAGCCAAGUCGCGUGAAGGAUGAAGGAUCUAUGGUUUGUAAACUUCUUUUAUCUGGGAGUAAAGUCAGGAACGUGUUCCUUUUUGUAUGUACCAUAUGAAUAAGCAUCGGCUAACUCCGUGCCAGCAGCCGCGGUAAUCCGGAGGAUUCGAGGGUUACCCGGAUUUAUUGGGUUUAAAGGGUGGGGAGGUGGUUAAUUAAGUCAGCGGUGAAAGUUUGUGGCUCAACCCUAAAAUUGCCGUUGAAACUGGUGGUCUUGAGUAUAUGUGAGGUAGGCGGAAUGCGUGGUGUAGCGGUGAAAUGUAUAGAUAUCACGCAGAACUCCGAUUGCGAAGGCAGCUUACUAAACUAUAACUGACACUGAAGCACGAAAGCGUGGGGAUCGAACAGGAUUAGAUACCCCGGUAGUC
rnacentral:rRNA from 1 species